rnacentral:rRNA from 1 species
UACAGAGGUCCCAAGCGUUGUUCGGAUUCACUGGGCGUAAAGGGUGCGUAGGUGGUGGGGUAAGUUUGAUGUGAAAUCUCCGGGCUUAACCCGGAAAUGGCAUUGAAUACUAUUCCGCUAGAGGUUUGGAGGGGGGACUGGAAUUCUCGGUGUAGCAGUGAAAUGCGUGGAUAUCGAGAAGAACACUUAGGGCGUAGGCAAGACUCUGGACAAAUGCUGACGCUCAUGCACGAAGGCUAGGGUAGCGAACGGG